rnacentral:rRNA from 1 species
AUGGCGGCUGAAGGGGCCUCGGGCUCCUCGGGCGCAAGCGAUGUCGAGCGGAUGAUGGCAGAACUUGGGCUGAAGGAAGAAGAUCUUGAUGAUGUGAUCUUUGAUGAGAAAGAUGCGCCUCCACAGGGACCCAGAUGGAUUGCUCUGGCUAGGGUAAACACCUCCAAAUCAUACAGUCAGACGUGGUUCUACAGAAACAUGCGGUCAGCAUGGAAUAUAGCACAGGAGGCCAAAUUUAAGCCCUUGGAAGAUAAUCUGUACUCAGUUCAACUGUCCUGUUUAGGACCUUGGAAUUUCCGAGGGGAUGCAGUGCUUCUUGCGCCUUAUGAUGGGGUCUCAAAACCUUCAUCCAUCAAGCUGGAGACGAUUGACAUAUGGAUCAUGUUCCAGAUCUGUUUGCUCACCUGGUUACUCCACUAG